UCCGAGUUGACCCCGGCAGUCUUCGAUGAGUCCCCGGCAUAACCCGCUGGCAACAUCGAACGAGGGCUGCCGUGUUUCCACGACAUUCCUGUGCAUGUCAAGCCUAGGUAAGGUUCUUCGCGUUGCGUCGAAUUAAACCACAUGCUCCGCUGCUUGUGCGGGCCCCCGUCAAUUCCUUUGAGUUUUAGCCUUGCGGCCGUACUCCCCAGGCGGGGUGCUUAAUGCGUUAGCUUCGGCACAGACGGAGUCGACACCGCCCACACCUAGCACCCAUCGUUUACGGCGUGGACUAC
rnacentral:misc_RNA from 1 species